rnacentral:lncRNA from 1 species
GAAUACAAAAAUAAAAAGGCACUAAUCUGUUAAGAAAAGACACUCAAUGUAUUCUAAGAAUAUAAGUCAUUUAAUACUGUUAAUUUUAUAGCACAAAAUAAAACAAGCUAUGAUCCCCAAAAAUAAUUUUAAAAGCUUACACAGAAAAUAUUAUUGCCUGAUGCUUAUGUUCUUUAAGUUAUACACGUCAAAAGAGUUUUAUGUCAUUUUAAAACACACAGUGAAGACCGUCUAGAAGCAAGGCCACUGUCCUCCUGUCUCAGAACUGUCCUCCUGCUCCUUCAGAAUAUACAAGCAGCUCAGCGUCCACGCUCACAGCAGUUAACCAGGGAGGGGUUCACUGGUUCCAGAGUGAGGAGUCCACAGAAAGCAUUAGUCUUAGGUACUGUGUUAAAACAAUCAAGAAUUCACUCAUUUUAAGAGGUUAAUGAACAUAAUAUUAAAAGAUUAAAUUAUGAACACCUGGAACAAAAACACAUCAUCCCUUUUUUUUUUUUUAAAUGCUCAUUAUUCUUUUGAGUAAAGGUUACAAGAGCAGUGGCCAUCAGUCUUGGCCCAUCUUGUCUGUAAACAGCUGUAGAGGAAGGCUGGCACAGUGCCAGGAUCGUGCAACUUGAAAAGAGGGCAGAGUCUCUUCCAGUGAGCACAGAGGGUUACGUCUGGAUGACAAAAGCCAGGACACCCUGUCAACCUCGAAACAGGUGGCAUCAGAGCAGUGCAGAGUGACAAGCAUGCCUUCUGUAUGGGGUUGGAGGUGGAGGUGGGGGGCUGUCACCCAGGACUAACUAGCCCUUAAAGCCCUCAACUACCUAAUUGUUUCCUUCUCAGAUACAACAGCCAUAGCAAGUGGGUUUAU